rnacentral:lncRNA from 1 species
GCGCGUGUGUGUGUACACAACAUCGAGAGCAGGAAAAUGGACUCAUUAGGGAGGCAGGCGGUCGGGAGCGCUCGCGCUGUAGUGCCGGGGAGACGGAGGCUAUGAGGAGGCAAACUGAGGACGGGGGAACAAGCAGCAUAAAGAAGAAGUGUUGAGAGCUGCUCUCAGCCCUUUUGGAGUCCGAAGUCAAAAGGGAACUAGGGGGCUUGACACAUCCCUUGCAUCUUCCAUUUACUCUGACCACAGUCCCUCCCUGUUCUCUCAAGUGGAGCUAAGCCCUGCUUCCCUCCCUCUUGAUUCCCAGACAGCUACAUGACUGCCUGAAGUUACACUGUAGAUGCUGAAAUCACUGCACCUUAAAAACAAAAAGAUUAAGCUGCACUGCAUUCUUGUAAGUAAAAGCUUUUCCGGUACCUUUUGUCAGUAUUUUUCCUCACUACACAUCCAAAGUGUUAGCACAGUAACUGCUCUUGGAUAAAGGUCAAAGUCCCCUUGAAUAGGAUUUAGAAGUUCAAAGGAUGUUUUAUUUAAAAAUUAGAACUAAACUUGAAUCUUUCAGAUCUUUAAUUUCAGACCCCUGAAUAGAUCUUUCUUUUUCGCUUUGAUUUGAUUAUUAUUAGGAAUAGUGUGUGUCUGUUGACGUACGGCUCCUGUGGCUUUGUCAGCAAGGAUUUCUGCACUUUGGAGUAGAGAUAAUAGAAAAUAGCAGAAGGUUCCUCAUAGCAUAAAAUACAGUUUGCUCUCUUUUUUUGUUGUCGUAAUAAAAUGUUGUCCCUUGUAUAAGAAAAAGAUGGAAUGUCUUUCUAAUGACAUCACAGGAGGCUUCGGCUGCUUUAGGACAUGGAUGAAGGCAGAGAUGCCUUAUUCAUCUGUGCCGCGAUACAACAAAACAGUCAAAAUAAUGUCUUGUGUCUCUCAGUAAGAAAGCAGCCUCUUUCUAAGGGCUUAGUUAUUCCAUAAAUGCAAGGCACAUCGUACAUCUACCCUUAUUUAGAAUGUGUUCACUGAAUAUGUUUGGGUAAAUAAUUAAGAUUUGGAACUUCUGUGGGUGAAGAACAAGUGAGUAAAAGAGGACUUGGAAGUGCUGUAGAUUCAGAUACUCCAAAUUUAACAAAAUAAUAUAUGAGUAAAAAUCCAAGAGUUUGAAGAUAGAAAGAAUUGAUUUUUUAGUUUGACAGCGCAAAGCUGUGGAGUAUGACAAAGCAAAGUCAGUUUGUUUUCUUCUCUGAGAUCAAAAUGUACAGUCUGUAAUGAAAUCCAGCGUCUCUUUCCAAAGUGAUUCUUUCGUACUUUCAGUAUUAAAAUAUUUUAACUAUUCCAUUGUUGUUUUUUUUUUUUUUAACUCUCUGUCCCCCCAACUUUUUUUUCCUUCAAAUUGUGUUUUAACGAUUUAGUUUAAACUAGCUGAAGGGUACAGUACACUGUGGGCAGCUAAUGCAUGCCCCUUCCAGUGUGGAACACCAAGCAUGACUCAGGCAGGCAGAUUGUGCCAUUCUGGCUCAGCUCCAUUGUGUUUUUACAUUACUGGGAAGGGCCGUGCCAUUGUGUUGCUUAAAUAUUGUGCAUUAACUGCAGGCUGUGGCUAGUGAAUUGUAUUUAACAUUUUCUCCUCAUCAUGACUGAAUAUCUGCCAUGAGCAGCUUCCCUGGCCAUGAGAGGUUAACCUUGCAAUUUGAGGGAUGACCUGAAGUGGUGAACUUGUUGGGUCCAGCAACAAUUCAAACGGAGGUGUUAGGAGCAAGGGGGAAAGUUAGUGGACAUUUGUAAAUCUCAGAGUACUGAGUAUCAAAGUUGUCUGUCUUUUUUUUUUUUGUGUGUGUUUAUAACCAGGAGCACAGUGAUUAAUUGUUCUUAGUGUCCUCUGGGAGAAAGACCCGAAGAAAUCAGUUCAGUGAGCAGUGAAAAUUACCAAGGUACAUAUUAAGAACCAUGUUCUGCCUGUGUAGGCAGUAAAACCCUGGGACACACUACCUCUAGGUACUUUGGAAACAGGGGAAGUUUCUUUUUGAAGGAAUGGGUUGGAAAACUACCUCAGUAGUGUGCCGUAAGACGGGGCGAGAUGAGUUUUGUUAUUCUCUUGCAUUUCUCUGAUUCAGCAUACCAUUUGGAAAUGUUGGUAUGUGGCUAGUACAUUCCUGAUUAAUAAAGCUUAAUGUUCCCAAAAGAUCCCUAGGGUUCUCAUUUUUCCAUCCUCUCAUAACUAAAACCGUACUGUCUCUUCAAAGAUUUCAGUGGGCUGCCAGUGUUCUGUUCUGACCCUUCUUUAUUUUAAGAGAAAAGACAGGGGAGGGUAUCAUACACACGCCAAAGGACAGAUGUUUGGUUGUUGUGCAUCUGUAUGGUUUCUUGACAGGCAGUGUAUUAAUCCUGAUUAGAUUCAGUUCCUGUUUUUGAAAAUUUGGAUGAAUUGAAACAGUCCAGGUAUAGUCUGGUACAAAGGCCCAUGACAAAGAUUAUGGAGAUAGUUUAAAGGUGCAAGUAUGUAAUGGGACUGGAGUAAAGCUUUGUGCAAAAAGCAGUUUCUCAGGAGAUAAUGAGCUUUCAGUUUUCUGAAUUUUCAUGCAAACAUUCUUGAAAAAUAUUUUCACUUUAUGAAACUGCCAACCUCAGAGUGCAGUUGGCCAGCCUGAUAACAUUUCUAGUUCUCAGGUUGGUUUUAAUCAGUCCUGUUCACAAUGUAGCGUAGAGAAGAGUUGGGAAUGAUUGUCAGUCAAGUCUAUCACCUUUUUUGUUGUUAUUUUGCAAAAACACUGGGGUCGUGCUUUUUCUAGUUCUGUAUGUUGAGACCAUCAAUUGUAGUGUACAGAAGAAUAGAACUCUGACUUUUAUUGCAUGUGGCAGCUCUUGGUUUUGCAGAAUAGUGGCCACAAUAGAUAAAGAUAGGAAAAUGGCUUUCUAAUGUGUGGUUGUUUUGGUAUAUAAAGGAGUAUGGUUGUGAGUUACUCAUAUUAAAAAGACAUGGGAAUAUCAGCACUGAUUCCCUGAGUAGCACUACUGGAGUAAGUUGUAAAACACUUCAGUAUUUCAGUACCUGAAGAUGUAGGAGUGGAAAAUCUCUAACUCCAUUUAUCGAAGAACUUGCUGAUAUAACUUCAAGACAAAGGAGAGACCACAGAUCAUUGAGCACAUAUCAAGAUUAUAAAGACACUAUUAUAAAUAUUAUAAAGACCAAAGAUAAAAAGAGCAACACAGGCCUGGCCUUUUCUGGUUCCUGGUACUCUUAUUUUCUUCUAUCCAAAAUGAGAUUCUUCAGCUAAAUCAGUAUAUAACGGGAGGAACUCCACAGAAAAGCAUUGUGGUUAUUCCAUAUUUACAUCAGUGCCCUUGGGGAGACUCUCACUGAAUCAUUUUAAAUUCCAGCAUCUGAUGUAGGACAGUCUGAUGAAUGUAAGAUACCAAAAAAUUCUGAUCUGUUUUCUUCAUUAGUGUAAGUGGUCUAGCUCUGAAUUUUACGAUCGAGUAUCUAGUUCUUCUUAUUGCCCUCUUUCCCGUCAUUGCCCCUGCAUCUAAAUAAUAGAUUAGAACAGAUUUUAAUUUCAGUUGUGUCAAAAUUGAUCUAUUGUUUUCAACAGUUUCCACUGGCACAGAAGAGAUCAGAAUAUUUUUAAUUUAUUAUUUUAUUUAUUUAAAUAAAUCAUCUGCAGAACUGCACUGCUAACAUGUUCAUUGCUUUGGUGCCAAUGCAUGCUCUGG